UUGUCUGGGUGGCGCGGUCGAGUCAUCGCUGGGCCGCCCCGCUUCCAUCUCCCCUUCCUGCCCCCCGCGCCGGUGCGGGGGGUCCAGCAGCCGAGCGCGGCGGGAGGAGGCCGGAACGGAACCUCCACCUGGUCUCGCCCGGCGCCCCGGCUGCCUGCGCUGGGGCCUGGGGCCUUGGGGGCCUGCGUGGGGCCGGGGCCUGCGUGGGCCCGUCGCCGGGCCCCAUGAGGCAUAGCCUGACCAAGCUGCUGGCAGCGUCGGGCAGCGACUCCCCGACCCGCAGCGAGAGCCCGGCGCCGGCCGCGACCUGCUCGCGGAGCCGGGACCCGAGCCGGGACGCGGCGCCGGCGGCCGACGGGGAGAAGCAGACGGCGGCGGCCGGAUCUCCCGGCCGCCGGGAGCCGCACGGCGACGGGGACGAGUUGGAGGCCGGGAGGGGGAGCCGCGGCGGCGGCGGCGGCGGCGGCGGCCUGGCCGACCGCGCGCCCUCCCCCGAGGAGAUGGAGGAAGAGGCAAUGGCCAGCGUCCCGGGCGAAGAGGCCGAGGACAUGGACUUUCUGUCGGGGCUGGAGCUGGCGGAUCUGCUGGACCCUCGGCAGCCGGACUGGCACCUGGAGCCCGGGCUCAGCUCGCCCGGUCCUCUCUCCUCGUCGGGCGGAGGUUCGGAGAGCGGCGGCCUCUGGAGAGGCGAGGACGACGACGAGGCCGCGGCCGCCGAGAUGCAGCGCUUCUCCGACCUGCUGCAGAGGCUGUUGAACGGCAUCGGAGGCUGCAGCAGCGGCAGUGACAGUGGCAGCGGCGAAAAGAGGCGGAGAAAGUCCCCCGCAGGCGGCGGCGGGGGCGGCGGCAACGACCACAGCCAGGCGGCGACCAAGAGUCCCCGGAAGGCGGCGGCGGCGGCUGCCCGGCUCAACCGGCUCAAGAAGAAGGAGUACGUGAUGGGGCUGGAGAGUCGGGUGCGCGGGCUGGCAGCCGAGAACCAGGAGCUGCGGGCCGAGAAUCGGGAGCUGAGCAAACGCGUGCAGGCGCUGCAGGAGGAGAGUCGCUACCUACGGGCCGUCCUGGCCAACGAGACCGGACUGGCUCGCUUGCUGAGCCGGCUGAGCGGCGUGGGACUGCGGCUGACCACCUCGCUCUUCAGAGACUCGCCCGCCGGGGACCACGACUACGCGCUGCCCGUGGGAAAGCAGCAGCAGCAGCAGCAGCAGCAGCAGCAGCAGGACGCGCUGGACGAGGACGACGCCGCGGGAGGAGUGUGUCUGCAUGUGGACAAGGAUAAGGUGUCGGUGGAGUUCUGCUCGGCGUGCGCUCGGAAGGCGUCGUCUUCUCUUAAAAUUUUCUUUUUUAGGUGAUUUCCUUCCUGCCAGGCUCCGUUGUAGGGGUACAGAGCAGUCGUUCCCGCCUCACAACCUGUGGAUACAGCUGUUGGGGCAGAAGAGACGGGACCAGCUGCUGGCCACAUUUCCUGCUUUAUUUUAAAAGGUAGUAUAAGAAAUGAGGAAAAAGAGGUAAUAUCAGGGCUUCUGCUGUCUUUUGUUUUUAAAAUGUUCAUAAUUAAAAAGUAUUUUCCAGCAGUCCAAAGAUGUAAGUUAUCUUAUGAAAUGUUUUAUUUUGUUGUUACUUGGUUAUGAAAUGGAAUCUUGUUCUUGCACAACUGUAAAUGAUCUGUUGCUAGAUAAUAAGAUUUGAGACCUAGAUUGGUCUCUGGUUUCCAGUGCAUCACAGCAUAUUCUGUAAAAUCAUCUACUGCACUUGAGCAUGAAUGGGUAGUAGCUAAACUCACAACCUGGAGUGUUGAACCUGCUUACACAAAAGGGCAGGAGCAAGCCCCUCACAAUGCAGCUGCAUGGAUUUUUAGUGCCUACUGAAUAAUAAAUAUACAUAUAUAUAUAUAUAUAUAUAAACCAAAAGUAGUUGGAAAAUUAUUUGAAAUGACUAAUUUGUGCUAUCUUUAUGAAAUGUUAAAUGUAGCUUUUUGAAAUAGAAGCCUUGAAUUGAAAUUUAACUAAUACUUGAACUUUUUGUAUAUAUUUCUUUGUAUAUAAUUUUGUGCAGUUCCAAUGACAAAAAAUACGGUGUCAUAAUAAAACCAGAUUUGUUGAUCUUUCAGUUAUGGCUCAAAGAAUUUAUUCAUCUCUAACAUGACAUUGGAAAAUAAUGGAUGAAAAUAGGAAAAAUGCUUGUUGUUAAUGCUGACUGUGGGUCUUAAUCAAAAGGUUCUGGAAGCAGUAAGUUCGCUUUUCUAAAAAUUAUAUCAUUCUCUUGGAAUAUUUAUUUCCUAAAGUCAGUGCUUCUCUUGCCAUUAUUUGAAGUUUGGGGUUGGGGGGAAACAAUAGUCCAAACUUUCUGAAUUGAGAUGUUUUGAAUUCUAAGUGUAGAUUUUUAGAUUGUCAUUUUAUAAAUGGCAGUUUUGGAAUUACUUGAGAAAUUUUGAAGAUGGAAAAGAUUAGUAUGACCUAUUUUUAAAGCUGCUUUGUUAGGUUCCUUAUGUUUUUAUUAACUGUCUUUUCUUAGUUUCCAUUUCAUUAAUUUUUUUCUAGUUUUGGUGACUUAGUGAUUUUUGUCAUUUUUUUUACAUCAACUCAUGGUCUUGUUUUUACAUGGUAAUUGCAUGUAUUAGGACCUAUCUAACAGGGGCUUUAAAUUUAUGUGUAAGCACAUUUUACUGUAAAUGUUUGAGUUUUUGAAUUUACAACAGGUGUGUUUAUUUGAGUAUGUAGUAAAUAUCUUAAAGUGUCCUAUUCACUACUUGUUAAUUAAAAGUUAUGAUUAAUAUGAAACUGUUGUCUUACUAUUUUUAGAAAAUUGUGUUUCGAAUGAUUAAUAUUUCGAUAAAGGAGAUUUCUGAAAUAUAAAAUGGAUCGUGUUUUAAAUUUUCCUGUUGGCUUUAUUUAUUGUAAUGAUUGGAAACAGUGUAGUACUGGGGGGCCUUUUCACUUUUUUUCCCCUACUUAUGCCUCAAUGAUAAAAUAAUACAGAACUGAACUAAAGAUAUAGCUUCUUAAUAUUUGUCUUCUGAUGGUAGUAGGAAUUCAUACAUUAAUUGAACUAACACAUAUUGACCUAUCAUUUCUAUCAUAUUGACUUUACUGUUUCUGUACUUCCUUGACCAGACUUGAACUAAAAAGUCCACGUUCAUUAAGAAUGUAGUCACACCUCUGCGUGUUCAGAAUAUUUUAAAUAUUUGUACAUUUUGUGAUCACUAAAUUAAUCUCUCUCUCUUCUCUUCAAACAGCUUAGCAGUGUCUGCAAAAACGAAUCUUUUCCUACAACCUGUUAACUGACUGGACUGAUGGUAACAAAGUAAUUGUGGGAGCCAUGUCGGUCAAAAAUUUGGCAUCUGCUGAAAAAAAAAAAAAAGAAUGCCAUUUUCAAGUUCCCAAAUUACUUCUGUACUGAUUUCACUUUCCAGAAAUGGAGAUAUGAAAAGAUUCUCUGGAGUCCUUGAAAGACUUAAUAGAAAUACAUGAGAGUUAAUUUUGGAACAAAAAUUAGAAUUUUUUUGUCUUUCAUGGGAGUGACACUUCUUUGCAUACCUUUUAAAAACUGUAACCACUGGAGAAGAGUUAGAGUAUUUCAUCAAGAAAUACUAGAGUCUUUAUAUAAUUGAGAGCACGUUCUAUGAAGUUACAUUUAGUGGACUAGAAUUACAUAAACAGACCAUCAGUGAUCACAAGGCAUGUCAUGAGUUUGUAUUUAUUCCCUGGACCAUGAGACUUAACUUGUAGAAAGACAUCUUGCUGAGUAUAAUAUAAAAGUUAAUGUAAAGGUCUUUGUAGUCUUUCUAAAAUAGCUGUAUUGAUUUGUAAUCUUUGAAAAAAGCUGAUUAUGAUUAAAUAUUUGGGUAGCUAAUUGAAAAUUAGGUAAAACCAGGAUGUGUGAAUUCUUAGAUUAUUGGCUUCUGGAGCUUUCUCUGAGUACUUUUU